CCGCGGUGCGGGCGGGAGCUGCGCCACAGCGCUGGGCGGCCUCCGUGCUUCACCCACCGCCACUCGGCGGACGGCGCCGAUCCGGAGCUUUCAUCCGCCGCUGCCCGGGUUUUGGCGCUCUCUCCGCUGCUGAAAGCUCCGAGAAAGGCGGCAGAGCCGGCCGUCCCGGAGGCCCGGAUGGCGCUGAGGAAAAACGCCCCGAUGUCGUCUGGGAUGGAUUCUGACAGGACGGCGGCACGGCCUGCAGCGAGGGGGGCAGGAAUCGGGGUGGUGCGGUGGAGCUGCGCAGGGAAACGUCGGAUGUGGUUAGCUGUGAAGGUGAAAUCUGUAACGCAGGCUUUGUGUUUGAAUUGCUUGUCUGCUGGGUGGUCUGCAGCGCGGUGAGCCCUGCUCUGCUGCUGGCAUAUGAGGCGUGCUGGGUGUGCGUGGGUUGGUGGCUGCAUGGGUGUGCAGUGGUUUGGUUUAGGCAUUCUGUUUCAAAGCUGCAUGAAAAGCAUCAGGAAAAGCCACUGACAGCAGCGACGUUGAGGUGGCCUCAAGGCUGUGACAGGAAGCAUUCAUCUGAGUCUCUUAAAUAUCGCAGCAUCGUUGUUGUACUCAGCUUUUAUUUCCUCGCGUUGCAGUGAGUAUCAGAAGCAGAUGGGUAAAGGCAGUAUGAAUUUCGUCGGUGUAAGGGCGAAGUAGCAGUCCAGAUAUGUGCUCCUAUGGAGUGUGAACCUGCCUUUGUGUGUCCUGUCAUCCUCGUCUCUUUGGAACUCGGCGUAUCCCUUCUUUCCCUAGGGAUAACUUUGUGGCAUGAAGUGAAUUCAUCACUUUACCUUCAGAAAGGAGGAGUUCCUUUCCUUGCACUCAAGGGAUUAACAGCUCCAGCAGAAUGCCGUGUCAGACUGCAGCAGGCGCCUUGCUGCUGCUGCUGUGGCAUCCCAGGGCUGUGCUGGAUGCCAAUCCUUUCCAACUGGCGCCUGGGAGAAAACAGCACGUUGCAGUUCUGUUUCAUUUGGUCAGUCCUAGCAGGGAAGUACUCCUUUCCAUCCCACUGUUCAGUGGUGUUGACUUCCAAAUCUUUUUCACUUUCAAUGGCAACAGAAAUUGAAAUUGCAUUUUUACUUUCUCUGUUGCUGCUCUGGAGAAGAUUUCAGACAUAUUUCUGUCCUCUGCUCUUUGGUUUCUCAUAACAGAGUUUUAGGGGGCUAUAUAGUUCACUAGUUCUCUGAGCUGCUUGACAUCCAAGGAGGAGUGAAAUUACCCCUUGCAAAACAACAUUUGGAUCACAGUGCAGGUCUCAUUUGGCAAUAGCAUGGCUGUUCUUUGAUGGGGAACCUGUCUGCUGGUGCUUGGAGGGAUGCUGAGCUCUUUUGGCCUGUGAGCCACCGCUGCAAACUACUCAGUUUGCUUUUGAAACUGAGCUAUUCCCGCUGCAAAUUGACAUCUGUCCUCAUGAAGGUGAUUGUUUUAGCUUGGGAACUGUCUCCCCAAACUUUAAAUAGCUUUAGAUCUACUAUAUUAGUUUUGACAAACAACUUCCCUUUUUUUCCAUCUGCUAUCAGAACCAUUUUCCCGAGUUCCUGUCCACCAUGUGGAUACCCAUGGGCAUCUUAACACCAACAGAUAGAAUGUAUCUGGCUUCUUCCAUUACUUUCCCUUCCACAGAUGUGAUAAAGUGUCACAGACAAUCCCUCCUCACCUUUGAGUGGCCUUUGUUGCAGUGGAAAGCAACAGCAUGCUGUGAUACACACAGCGAUCCUGACGAAUGACCUGUGGAAUGGUGGUUUGACACAGCAGUGCAUGUUGGGGCUUGAAGCAUACCGUCCUCCUCCUCUUUAACCCAAGUUUCACAUGCAGAACUGAAUUUCGACACCUCAAUCUGUACAACUUUUUCAUUUUGAAGUAAUCCUCAAAUGCCCUCAUAAAACUAGUCUUUAGAAUCCACGCUGGCCAAACUUUGUGUUGCUGUUUGGGGAGUGACAGUUCCUAUGGAGUCACAUAUAGUGUUUGCUGAAUCCUUUAUCUGGUGUAGUAUUUUGCUAACCCUCUUUCCACUGUGUUGUAGCCUGGGAUAGUUGAACAGUUCAGUAGUGUGGCCCAUAUUCUCAAAAUUGGAGGCACGGGCCUUGAACCAACAGUUAUUCUUUGUCUCCCUGGUUUUAAGAGGCUUGACUUUAAAGCCACAGCAUUUAAUGUGUGAGUCACUAUACUGGUAAGUACUAUGUUUGCAAAAUACAAAUGCAAAAUGUCUGUCCCACGUAUACAUGAGGUUUCCGAAGGUUGGUGGCUUUAUUCUGUGUAUAUGCAAACAAAGAAACAUAAACGUUUGUGCUGUAUAAAUGUGAUUUUCGCUGUUGGCAUAGUCCUUCUUGGUUCUGUCCUGAUUGUUCACAUUCAGUGUACUUCUCUCAUGAAGUUCAGAUAUUGUUAUGGGUCCCUGUAACUCAGAGACCUGCAUGGAUCUCUUUUCUAUUACCCUGAGUUCAUAGGAGUUUCAAAGUGCCUUACUACAGUGGGCUGUGAAGGCAUGGUGUGGGCUCACAGCAGUUUGGUUCUUAAUCCUUUGUCCUAUGCCAUACACUGGCCCUGCUGCAUGAUUCACUGUGAUUACCUUCCUUUACAGGUGGAAAUUCUUCCUGCCAUGAAACACACUGUUCUCUCAAGACACGACAAGGCAUUCUUCAUUAAAUAGAGUGUGAUUGUGUUGCUCAGAGAGGAGCUACAUCAUUCUGCCUCUUCCUGAGCAUGAUUUGAAUGUCGGGAUCAGCCCAAGACAAUGCAAGAACACAAGCCAUGAAAUCAAGAAUCUAGGAAAAAAGAAGUGUCUUACCUCCGUUUUUUUUCUAGCAAGGGGUUCUGCCUUAUACGGUCUGGGGUAGAGCUGUUUCUUGUGUUCAUAGCAACAUCUGUCCGGUCACUGUCAUUCAUGUCAAGUAGCAGAGCAAUUUGCUGAUUCACUCAAAAGAGACACAGAAUGAGACUUUUUUCAUGGAAGCCUUUUUUUCCCUCCUGUGCUGGCAGACCUAACUCCUGGCUUUGUACUCUCCGGGACAGUCAUUUAAUGAGCAGUCAGUGAAUCAAUCCUUACAAGACACACAGACUGAAAUGUUCAAAUGCAACUACCUGAACGUGAAUCGAAGGCACUGAUGGGAGAAUGCAACAACCCUUUGCACAGUGCCCGGCGUCAGUCUUAUGCUUGCUUAUCUCACGGGAAAGUCACACUGUGGAUUUGAAUUCAUUAUUUAAUCUAAAUACUCUCAGAGAGACACUGGCUGUCAGAAGUGACUUUGUAAAUCAGUCUACGGGAGAUCGGAAAGGGGAGAAAUAGAUGACAACAAGGAGACGUCUUGAAGGAAGAACUAGGAAACAGCAGAAUGGUUGGAUGUUGGGGAUCCUCCACCUGUACCAGUCAGAAUUCCCUGGCCUCGAGUCUGUCUGUGCUUCAUGAACUAAGCAAAAAAAAAAAAAAAAAAAAAAAAAAAAAAAAGGAAUUAAAAGACAAGGUGAAAAAAAAAAAAAGGCAAAAAAAGCAAAAUGUCAGUAUAAGACUUCUUCACCUAAAUCAGAAAAUGCGGUUCUGAAGAGCCCACAGGAAGCUAGUAGACAAGGAGCAGUGGUGGAAUCUUAAUAGAAUUUAGCUGACAAAUGUGGAAGAGUGGCAUGAAUCAAUCAGAGAUUUACAGUUUGGCCAGGUUGGAUGGUUUCCCAGAAGGGUACUGAAAAGAACUUGAAGGCCAUGCAGCUUCUUUCUUUCUCAACUGUGAUUGCAUGACAGUUUAGUGGCUUCUGCCAAGAUGAAAAGGCAUGCAGGCAUCUUAAUAAAGUAGCUAAUGAGCAGAAUUUCUUUUGUUGAUGAAUAAAUGGUUUUUCCUACCUCAUUAUUUUAAAUGUGAGGACUGUGUUCAGUUUGGAGUGUGUUUUUAAACCAGCCUGAUGGACUUGCUUGACAUGGACAGCUCAAAUGGUUUCAGUUUGGCAAACUGGCAACCAGCUGAAAAUGUGAUCUUCUGCUGGUCACAGAGCAACAAGUGGUCUUGUGUGAGUGCAUACGAGUGGAUGAGGCUGUGAUUUGGACGAAGAGCUGAACAGCCGUGUGCCUGCAUCUGAAAGAGAGCACAGCUGGGCAAUGAUAGUGCAGAAGGAAGGCUCUAGAGACUCUUCUCAUUAAAGUAUCUCUGAUUGUCAAAGAGAACUGUUCGUUUGUUCUGUGAAUACUACCAUGCGUUACAGGUCUUGCUGUUUCCAAAGGCGAGUGGUGGUAUAUGGAAUGAAGGCACCAUAGCUGCAAACAGACUGGCAGUGAAAAUCUGAAUUUCGGACAGGACUUUCUAAGAAAUGUAUGUCCACACUGGUCUGCGGAGUCUUUCUGAAAUGACUGAAGGAAGGAGCCUGCAGGCCUUCACAAGAGGAGUUCCUUUUGGAACCAAAGGCAAUAAAACUCUUAGACUGCCAAUAUCAGGAGCUUGGUUUCAACAACCUGAGAUGCGAUGUGCAUGUGUCUGUUGCCUUAGCCUUUACCUUGAUGUCUUUCCAAAAUGUGUUCUCUGGAGUAAGUUCUCAUACAAGCUAGCCUGCUGUUCUGCAUCUUUUCUGUUUUCCCCAGGCUGCAGCAGGUUCACCUUCUAAGCUGGCCCAUCAGCAAUGCUGUGAGAGCUCAGUAGCUUUAUUUGCCCUGUCUUCUCCGUUUGUUUUUCCUUCAAACCCUUAGCAAGCCUUUUUGUCUUCGCCACCUCUGAACUCUCUGCUGCUGUCUUCUGCCUGGGUCCUACUGCACCAGGGGUCAUCUCUGCUUCAUGUAGUAUGGCCUUGGCCUCCAGCUGCCACUAGUUUGGGUUGAAGGCUGCGCAGGGGCUGUGGGGCUGAGCCCACAGCUGGAACACUGCCAUCAGCAUAGGGGAGGAGGGAAGAGGUCUUUUCUCGCUCUCCUUGCAUAUUUGCACCCAUUGGAGCCUUGGUGUUGCUGCCAUGGACCCACAAGGUUGCCCUCAUCAGUGCUAGGCAUUCAGUAUUCAGCUUGAACGUGGAGGUGUGCUUUGCCAGGAGGAACACCACCAUUUCCAGGCAGCAGGGAUGCACAUCACCAGCUCUCUCAGUGCCACAAGAGGCCAUCCCAACUCCAAACACUACAUGGGGAAGCUGCCUGGAAAAUGGGAGAGAAUUUCUACAUCAGGAGUGACUCAGGACUUUGGUAUAUUGCGUUCUCAAAUAUUUAUUUCAGUGUUCUUAUAAAUGUUUUAUUUGGAGAAAAAUAUUGUAAUUAGCCAAUAUUCCAUAAAAUCUAAAUAUUUUGCUCUAAGAUAGUACUUCCCCUGAUUGUGGAGAUUUGAUUCUUUGCUGAUUACACAGUUCAAGCUCUGUGUAUUGACGAGGGCUUUCCUCCACUCUGUGGUCUGUUUACAUGUGACUGAGGCCUUAAUCCAGGCACUCUAAUAGCAAGCGGGGACAAAGACGAUUUAUCCUUGGUUAAUCUUCAAAAAUUGCUUUUCAUCUGACUUUUUUUCCACUGAGGAAGAUUGCAUACGGGAACAGAAUGGGGCAGUUGAGGAAUAAAAAGCAGAGUUCCCUGUAACAGCUGCACUGACUGUACAGAGAACGGGGACGCUUGUCAGAAACAAGGAGCUGUACUAGAGAGGCCACUUGUUCUCUGCACUCGUGCAAUACAAGAGGUGUGGGAGAGCAGGCUGUGUGCAAUGUGUGCCUUGGGCCUGUCCCUGUGAGCUCUUCCUUAAUGCAAGCUGUGAAGGGACUUUCUCUGGUGUCACUCAUUUUCCAGCACUUGAAGGGUAUUUAGCACACUAAAUGGAGCAAUACUCUAUACGCAGUGCUUUGCUGCGUGCUGAUUUCAUGGUCCAGAGAUCCACCUUUGCAAGCCUGCACUGAGGAUGCUCAGGCUUCCACCCUUUCAGGACCUGUGUUGGAGUACACAGGGAGCUGGCCCUGCUCUUGUUUUUCCCAAGCCUGUGGUAGAGCUGAGGUUGGCUCCUGGGCUGCAGCUGUUGGAACCAGCAGGCAGCAGUACCAGGCAUGGGUGGAAAAAUGCACAGUGUGAGCAUCGUGCGAAUGUUGAGGGUUUUUUGAAGCGUCAUCUGAAGGCUUUAAUCCAUUAUAUGGUCCCAGUGAACACUGCUGGCAUCCAUCAUUCUGCUUGGCUCUAUUUACCAUCUAUACCUGGUUCCAGGAAACGUUUUAACAGAUAUGAGGAGAAGAGGAGGAAGCUUGUAACAACAGCUUUCUACUUUGCAGGAUACCAAAGGAAUGCACGUGUGUAAGAAUGAAAGGCAAGUACUACAAGUGGAUCGGAAACAGCUUUAUUUUGUGACAGGUGGUUUUUGUAUCCUGCAGAUGGAGCAGCUACAGUGGGGUAAGAAUGAGGCAUGUUUUGGGUGGCUGGGAAUCAUAGAAUCAUGGAAUGGCCUCGGAUGAAAAGGACCACAAUGAUCAUCGAGUUCCAACCCCCUGCUAUGUGCAGGGUUGCCAACCACCAGACCAGGCUGCCCAGAGCCACAUCCAGCCUGGCCUUGAGAGACCCAGUACAGCACAAGGAGCAUCCAAAUUGGGUACAAAUUAGGAGAAAUUCAAGUGUUUUCUGAAAUGUGUGUUUGCUGUGAAACGUGGCUGAUGUUGAGGGGCUGUCCGUGGCAGUGUCAAGACAGGAGAAUUCAUCAAGAGAGAGCAAGCUGCAGCAUUCAGAACUGUGAAAAUUGUAAAAUCUCCCGUGUCUUGCACUAGUAGAGAUAGAAGUAUGUGGAGAAGUCCUUUGGCUUUGGAGGGCUCUGUGAAUCAUCUCAUGCUGGGAAGGGCUUGUGUUCCUGCAGUUACGUUUGUUACUCCCUUGCCCAGUGACCUACGAAACCCUUCUUGGUCCUUGUGCAUUGGAUGGAAGAAGAAAUUCAAAAUUACUUCAAAGCCACCUCCAGUAACUUCUUCAAAGGAGAUGUAGUGUAAUCUUUGUUGUAGGUGUAGGUGUUGGAAUGGCCUCCCCCAUCACUGAGGCUAUCAGUGUUGUUUUUCUGGAGGGUGAUAGUGGCAGAGGCAGAAAGCAGAAGUGCACCACAAAAGGGAACCAGCUGCUCUCCCAUCCUACAGCAUGGUGAAAAAGAGUGAAGAACUGGUACCCUUCUGGACAUAGGCUUUAUUCCAAGUGCUGGGAAAGUGAGAGAAAAGCCCCUGAGAUGCAGAAGAGGGGGGAAGAAGGUCUGCAGGUGGGAUCUGGCCAGGAUUGGGUCCCAACACCACAGCAGUGCCAGGCCUGGGGCCACUGGUGUGUUCCGCAGCCACCCACCAGGGCUCUGUCUCAGCUGCGGGGACACUGUGCACUGGCAGCAUUUGAUGUAGUGACAGUGAAGACCUCAGGUGGAGCAGGAGUUCAGCAGCUACUGACAUGCAGGACCUCCAUUUGGAGAGGGCUGCCAUGGUCGGAGCCACAGGGAAUACAGCGCUGGCUUGUGGCAGCCACACAUGGAGGAGCAAUGGAUGACCCUGAUCUAGUGGUUGACAUCAUGACUUACAAGAACGACCUUCAGACAUGGAAAGGAUAGAAGAGUACCUCUCAGGGACCAUGGAGCUGGCAAGCACCCCAGGAUACUGGUGGUGGCCGUAGCAGCUUUGCUGUGGAUAAAUUCUCCUAUUUCCAAAGGGAAUUUGUGACCAUGUAUGAAAUGCCAAACAAUGUGCUAGCAAUCUUUUUGUAUGUAGAUAAGGCAUUUUAAUGCAAUACAGCUCAGCCUGCCUGCAGCAGACCAGACGUACUGACAAGGAUUAAUCGUCCAGCGCAAGACUUGGCAGAGUAACAAGCAGGGAGGACUCCUAACCAGGCAGCUGUUUGGGUCUUAUAUAAGCUGUCUAGACCAAACAUGAAGAAACGAAGCCAACCCUGGCAUCGGACUACCACUUCUGCACAGACAGUUUCCAACCUACAGCUUUCAUAUCUGAGCUUGUGCAAAGCAAGGGAGAAACAGAAGGAUGUUAACAGUCAAGCCAACUCUGCAUCAGAAAAAAGUCUGUGAGCAACUAUAAAAAUAAUGGAAAAGAACAGUAAUGAGUGAGAUUUACUACAGCUAGGAAAACAGUUGACAUUUUGCAUACAGAAAAUAUUGCGUUGCCAAGAACAUCUCCUCACAGUGAGCCCACAGGAGUCAGGUAGAGCUGGGGAACAUGGCUUAUGCUACAACAAAGGGGAGGAUGCUCCUGGCGGAAAGCAGCCUGGGAGAGAAGGUGCAACUUUUCCAAGUUCCUUGUGACUGUUCCAGUGGAAGAUCAAAUUCAUUCAAAGAGAAAAUAUAAUCAGAAAAGAGGCUGUUCUUGAAGUAUUUCACAUGGCAAAUAAGAAGAAAGGUCUGUGGCUGGGACAGGUGUGACCGUGAGGGACUGAAAACAACCAGGGCUGUCACCAGGGAGCAGCGGAGCAAGAUAUAUCCUGUUGGUGGGUAAUGGAUUAGCCAUUGGCAACCUUCAGCUUGAAGGAAGCCAGGAGUUGUAUGACACAACCAAUCCUUGUGCCAUGGGGCAGGAUGUGACCCGCUGGGCGCAGCACAUGCAGGAGCCCUUUGUCACCACGUUGUUUGGCUCAUUAAUGAAUACCAGAACCAGUCUCGUACAGGUUGUCCACAACGUUACACACGUCUGGCUUUUUUUGGGAGCAGUGUGUCACAGGUGCCUGUUUUGCUGUUUCUUGCUGCCAGGGCCCAGGAGAUACGAGCUGCUGAGCAGUGGGGUGCAGGAGGCCCUACCUUGGUGGCCAUGCAGAAGUGGGUUUGUCCCUGCCCAGCCCCAGAGGAGCUCUCCCAUGGAGGACUGCCUGCAGCCAUCCUGACAGUGAGAGCAGACUGUGCCCAGGGACUCUGGGGCUCUUUGGCUUUGUUUGUGGCACAGCUUCUAGGAAGCCCCUAUGAAAGACCAUCACGUUUGGGAAUGUCUGUAACCUGGUUUUUAAGUUACAAGGAUUGGUAUUUUCCCUGUACCCCUUGUCCUUAUUCCAAACCCUUCCUUUCUUGGCUAUAGCAGAUCUCAGCAUUGUGAUUUAUGGGCUCCAGAGGUGUCCCAAAAAGGGAAAAAAUAGCUGUGUUCAGACAGUGUGACAAAGAAAUUGGAGAGAUGGGGGGGGCUGGGGACUGACGGGUCACCUCAUAGGAAUGUCCUGCCUGUGGAGAUGCUGGAGCAGCCUCCUUCCCUUGCUCACAUGGUCAGAGCCUUGUACAAGCAUUUAGAGCUGAGUUGGAACCAUAGCAGAUACAUGACCUGUUUUCUGGACUGACAGAGGGUUUUCUACCCAGCUCCAGGUGUGGCUGUGAGAUGGCAAAAGACUGGGACAGCCCCACACAGCCACUUAACUGCAUUAAAGCAAGCAGGACUGAGUUUCCUGGCUACCAGCUGUGCCUCUGCUCAGGUCUCCGUCCUUGUGGCUGCCUACAGGCUUGCUCUUGCCCUGAAUGGCACACAGAACUCAUCCUAGCCCUGCACGCAUAGUGCUGUCCUGAGCACGUGCCAGCCCUGCUUCAGCCUCCCAUCUCCCUCUGUUCCCAGUGGACGCAGUGCUCUUGCCAGCCCGUGGCUGCAUCCUCUGAUGCUGUGCAGCUGUUCCUAUUGGCAGCAUGGCACCAGCACAACCAGGUGCCUGGCACAGUGAGAUACAGCAGGAGCAUCUGGCUCAGUGCAGCAGCUCUUCCCUGCACCGCCGGGCCCCAUGCAACACUCAGUGUGCUACACGCUGCUCAUAACCCUGUGGAGUGCCUGCACCUCUCUGAGCAACAGGAGCAGGCAGACCGAUGGACAGACCUGCUGGUUCUCUUAUGCACGGGAUGGUAGACACAACAGAGGUUCAGCCCCAGGGAUUGAUACUUGAAACAAAUCACUCCAGAGCAAAGAGAAGUGGUGCGUGCCAGCUGGGUGUGAUGAGAACUGGAGUCCUCAUUGCCAGCAACAGCAUUGCUCCUCCUCAGGCAGAUGUGGGACCUUCCUCAUCACACGGCUCCUUCACAUCUCGGUGAUGUGGCAUCCGCAGUGCUGGUAGGAGGCUGUACAGCGCCCGUGCCAGAGCAGGAUGUGAGGAAUUAAAUACUCCCGAUCCUGCCCUGGCCCUGAGCAGAACGUGAGUCACAUCUGAGAAAUGGGUACAUCUGUUUAGGAAGGAGUACUCUGUCCUGAGCCAAUGGCAUCGGUUGUGCCCGGGCAGAUGGGCCCCAUGGCCACUCUGGGCAAGAGACUCGUGCUGAAGGGUUGGCAGAGCUGCAGCAUUGCUGUACCUUCUUCUUCCCUGGGGUGGUCAGCCCUUGAAGCCACCUGAUGCUCAGCUGCAUGCCGAGUGGGAAAUAAGCAAAUCCGCAGCACCAAGGCUUGGAUGUGUCAGUCCCCAGGAGGAAGAGGAGGAGGCACGGAGCGUGGCUGCCUGCUUCCCUUCUUCAGCAGCUCCACAUGGCUGGAAGAGCUUCUCCACUGCCUGGGCACCUUGGGGCCCCAAGCCAUGGGAACUGAGAACCCCAAAACUCAGCCAGCACGAUGUCACUGCUUGUAAGAGCUCUGUGGGAGCUGCCCUGGAUGUUGGCACGCAGGGGAGCAGCAUCGCUGUGUUACACCUGUGCUUGCUGUGCAGCAAAGCCAGGAGCUUUCCUCCUCCUCCUCCCUGAGCACAAUGCGGUGGCUUUUGGUAGCCAGGGGCAGGGAUAGAGGCCUGGCACAGGCAUCCCAUGGGGGUGGCUCUCCUUGCUCCGCUUCUACACGAAUAACAAAAUCUCCUACAAGGCUGCGUUCAGCGGAGUGCACACAGCAGCUCCCCAGGCUCACUGCUGCAGAGAGCCCAGGGGAUGCAGUGCCAUCAGCACUGGGCAUGCAAAGGUGCUGCAGAGCCACGACCUUGGCUAAGUGUGGCUCAGAGAGGCACAGAGGGACACUUAACAGCUAGCGACGGACAACAGUUGCAGGAGGAGAGCUCUGCAUAUGCUGAGACCGCCGUGCUCCUGGCUGCCCUAUCAGCAGAGCUCAGCGUGCUCCCACACGUGGGUGCUGUGCGGGACCCCCAACUCCUGCAGCCAAAUGGAGCCAAAACUCCAUUUACAGCCAAAUUUGGGGUGUUCGGUGGUUUUUUUUUUUGCUGAAAGGCCGAGUCGGACGGAAAUAUUUCCAUGAUGUCUCUCCCGUCGGUUUCUAAUUCCGAACAAAAGUUUCCUUUUACACAAACAAACUUCGCCGCGGUCGGGCAGCCCGUGCCCAGCCGGGGCUCC
rnacentral:lncRNA from 1 species